rnacentral:lncRNA from 1 species
UGAUGACAUCAUACAUUGCAUCAUCUCAUGUCUUCUACAUAUUGAGAAAAAGUAAACGACAAAGAUCAUGUUCUCCGCAUGUUGUGAUUGGACCAAUUGAAGGUCCAAUGAAAUGCUUAGGUUAAAAGGUCCAAUUACAAGCUUCCAUUAAAGGGUCCAAUGAGAGGUCAGCUUUUACUGCAAAGAAUUGAAUGGUUCGCUUAUUUGGAAUUAAGUGAGUUCGCUUAUAUGGCAACAUGGAGAUUCGCUUAUACAAUAUUAUGUAUGGUUCGCUUUUAAGGUUCUGCCAUUUCGAGCGAACCAAAAACUCUAUAAAUAGGUUUGUCAUUCAUUUUAUUUGUAACGAUUUUCAGAUCUGAUAUCGAGGUAUUGCCGGUGUUCCUUGUUAAUGUAACCGCUGUAAAAUCAAUAUACAAGAGGUUUAAAGUGUGAUUCUAGCUGUGUACACGUCCGUUUCUUUGUUUCCGCAUCUGAAACGGAUUUGAGCUCUUCCGAACGACUCGUUUAGAUCGAAAUCCGAUCCUACAAUUGGUAUCAGAGCCAAGGAGGAAGAGAUCUCGCAAAAACAGCUCGUUUUCAUCACUUUUUCUGCUUCUACACCUUUCUUU